GCUCCCCUCUUGCAUGCGUGAUGCCUCUGAUACGUUUUGAGCCAACAUCAGACCUUCGGGAGCCAGGUCAUACACUGGGGAACGCGAUAGCCCUCGAUUGGCAAGGCGAGAACCAGGUCAAGGCACCCACCUGCGUAAGCAGGUUCAAAGCUACCCAGGCACACGGUGCGACGGGGGACUA
rnacentral:other from 1 species